GGGUUGUGAGGUUAAGCGACUAAGCGUACACGGUGGAUGCCCUGGCAGUCAGAGGCGAUGAAGGACGUGCUAAUCUGCGAAAAGCGUCGGUAAGGUGAUAUGAACCGUUAUAACCGGCGAUGUCCGAAUGGGGAAACCCAGUGUGAUUCGUCACACUAUCGUUAACUGAAUACAUAGGUUAACGAGGCGAACCGGGGGAACUGAAACAUCUAAGUACCCCGAGGAAAAGAAAUCAACCGAGAUUCCCCCAGUAGCGGCGAGCGAACGGGGAGCAGCCCAGAGUCUGAAUCAGCUUGUGUGUUAGUGGAACGGUCUGGAAAGUCCGACGGUACAGGGUGAUAGUCCCGUACACCAAAAUGCACAGGCUGUGAACUCGAAGAGUAGGGCGGGACACGUGGUAUCCUGUCUGAAUAUGGGGGGGACCAUCCUCCAAGGCUAAAUACUCCUGACUGACCGAUAGUGAACCAGUACCGUGAGGGAAAGGCGAAAAGAACCCCGGCGAGGGGAGUGAAAAAGAACCUGAAACCGUGUACGUACAAGCAGUGGGAGCACCUUCGGGUGUGACUGCGUACCUUUUGUAUAAUGGGUCAGCGACUUAUAUUCUGUAGCAAGGUUAACCGUAUAGGGGAGCCGCAGGGAAACCGAGUCUUAACUGGGCGUUAAGUUGCAGGGUAUAGACCCGAAACCCGGUGAUCUAGCCAUGGGCAGGUUGAAGGUUGGGUAACACUAACUGGAGGACCGAACCGACUAAUGUUGAAAAAUUAGCGGAUGACUUGUGGCUGGGGGUGAAAGGCCAAUCAAACCGGGAGAUAGCUGGUUCUCCCCGAAAGCUAUUUAGGUAGCGCCUCGUGAAUUCAUCUUCGGGGGUAGAGCACUGUUUCGGCUAGGGGGUCAUCCCGACUUACCAACCCGAUGCAAACUACGAAUACCGAAGAAUGUUAUCACGGGAGACACACGGCGGGUGCUAACGUCCGUCGUGAAGAGGGAAACAACCCAGACCGCCAGCUAAGGUCCCAAAGUCAUGGUUAAGUGGGAAACGAUGUGGGAAGGCACAGACAGCCAGGAUGUUGGCUUAGAAGCAGCCAUCAUUAAAGAAAGCGUAAUAGCUCACUGGUCGAGUCGGCCUGCGCGGAAGAUGUAACGGGGCUAAACCAUGCACCGAAGCUGCGGCAGCGACACUAUGUGUUGUUGGGUAGGGGAGCGUUCUGUAAGCCUGCGAAGGUGUGCUGUGAGGCAUGCUGGAGGUAUCAGAAGUGCGAAUGCUGACAUAAGUAACGAUAAAGCGGGUGAAAAGCCCGCUCGCCGGAAGACCAAGGGUUCCUGUCCAACGUUAAUCGGGGCAGGGUGAGUCGACCCCUAAGGCGAGGCCGAAAGGCGUAGUCGAUGGGAAACAGGUUAAUAUUCCUGUACUUGGUGUUACUGCGAAGGGGGGGACGGAGAAGGCUAUGUUAGCCGGGCGACGGUUGUCCCGGUUUAAGCAUGUAGGCUGGUUGUCCAGGCAAAUCCGGAUAAUCAAGGCUGAGGUGUGAUGACGAGGCACUACGGUGCUGAAGUAACAAAUGCCCUGCUUCCAGGAAAAGCCUCUAAGCAUCAGGUAACAUUAAAUCGUACCCCAAACCGACACAGGUGGUCAGGUAGAGAAUACCAAGGCGCUUGAGAGAACUCGGGUGAAGGAACUAGGCAAAAUGGUGCCGUAACUUCGGGAGAAGGCACGCUGGUGUGUAGGUGAAGUCCCUGCGGAUGGAGCUGAGACCAGUCGAAGAUACCAGCUGGCUGCAACUGUUUAUUAAAAACACAGCACUGUGCAAACACGAAAGUGGACGUAUACGGUGUGACGCCUGCCCGGUGCCGGAAGGUUAAUUGAUGGGGUUAUCCGUAAGGAGAAGCUCUUGAUCGAAGCCCCGGUAAACGGCGGCCGUAACUAUAACGGUCCUAAGGUAGCGAAAU
rnacentral:rRNA from 1 species